rnacentral:lncRNA from 1 species
UUUAUUAAAAUAAUAAAUUGGCUUAAAUUUAAAGUUGGAAUAUCGUUGACCAGCUUAAAUCAAAUAAACUGAAAGAUUAGAUAUUAAAAUUAAAAUUUUGAAAAGGUUGCAUAGCCAAUCUAUAUCUAUACUUCUGUACCUAUACAUUAAUCUUCAAAAGAAAUACCACGUGGCUGUGUUUCCUUCACUGUUGGCUUUCACCUUAUAAAACCAAUCAUUCGCCUUUCCUACGCUCAUAACGUCUAAUUAACACAUCCACCCAACUUAACCCUAUCUAAACCGUAAACUUAAAAAUCCACACAAAAAGCCCAACCCUUUGUCUUCCCUUCACAUAUAAUGUUUAAUUAAUGCGUCCAUCCACCCUAACCCUAAUAUAAUCGUAAAUCAUACAAACUUACACAAAAGCCUCAUUCUCUCCUAUGCAUGUCAUGAGAAUAAAAGACUACUCCUUUUCUAUAAUAAAUUAUAACCUCCUUCAUUUGGCAAAAGAUAUGGCAUCCAUUUAUUUUUUUUCUUUUU